UUGUAUAGAUCGUAAUAAUUUGGUUAUGAUACAAAAUCAGCGAUUCUUAAUUGGAGAAGCAUAUUUUUAUAUACUUUUUGAUGUAAAAUUUUUUUGGGUGUAAAUUUUAUAUUCAAUCCAUCCAAUGAUUCAGAUAAAUUUUUGAAAUGUUUAUACUACAAAAAUAAAAGCAUGAUCAUACUAGUGUGAAAAAAAUGGGAUAAUUGCCUAUAUACCCCUCAUAUGUUUGAAAAUAUUCGAUUUACACAUUUUUUUUCUUUUUAAAAUACCUCUCAUAUGUUCCACCGUUAUUGUAAAAUACCACCGCAGUUAUCUCCUGUUAAGUUAACUUGGAUUAAACGUGAGUUAAAUAUCUACCACAGUUAAAAAAAUUAAAAUGCCAAUUUUGUUCUUAACUUAAGGGCAAAUAAGAAAUGUUGGUGAUGGUAGAGGAGUAUAUUUGAAAAGACCAAAAGUCAAAAUACUUUUUGUGCCCCUGACUUUAAGGGCAAAUAAGAAAAGUCGGUAAUGAUAGAAGGGUAUAUUUAAAAGGGCAAAAUGGUAUAUUUGAAAGGACAAAAUAGUAAUUUCACAAGAUAAUAGAGUUCAUUAACAAAUUUUAACUCUAGGGGCAUAUUUGAAAUAGGUUGGAACGAAAAAAAGGUAUUUUCAAUAUUAGCCUUCUGAGAGGAGUAAAUUAAAAAGUUGAAAACUUUUCAGGAGUAUAUAAGCAAUUGCCCCCAAAAAAAAUAGACUCUUAGAUGAAAAGCAUGUAAAAUUAUUACAUUCACUUUUGUUUGUUCAAUAAUUAAAUUUCAUCAGUAAAACUUUAAUAUUCUCUUUUAAUUAUCACAGCCAAAAUAAAAUUUUAAAUUUAUUUUAAACUUAUCAAAAUAUCCUUAUAAACCCUAAAUCCAAUUAACAAAUUUCUAGAGGUUUGAAAAUAUUUGAAGAAAUUUUUGAAAAUUACUAAGAACAUUUUGAUNUUUAAUAUUCUCUUUUAAUUAUCACAGCCAAAAUAAAAUUUUAAAUUUAUUUUAAACUUAUCAAAAUAUCCUUAUAAACCCUAAAUCCAAUUAACAAAUUUCUAGAGGUUUGAAAAUAUUUGAAGAAAUUUUUGAAAAUUACUAAGAACAUUUUGAUCAAUCAGGAAUAUAUUAGAUAUUUUUAAAAUGAUUAAUUGCAUACAGCUCCCUAAAAACAUAGCAAAUUUUUCUAUAAUAAAGUUCAAUUUUCUUAUAUUAUUCUAGCAAAAGUUUUAUAGUAUUCAUAUUUGUCCCUUUGAUUUAUUACCGUUAAAGAACUGUUUAUUUUUUAACAGCAGAUAAAUGAAAUGUCAAUUCUGCUAUCAUAACUAUAACCCUCCAAAAGCCCCGGCUGCUAUAAUCAUCCAAAAACUUUUCAAUGGUCAUUUUUCUUUUCACCUUCUUUCUCUUUAAAAUCCAACCCAAUCCAUCAUUAUUACAACCUUUUCUCUCACUCAUUUUCUCCUAAACCUUUUCUUUUGAGCAGAAUCAGAAAAAAUCAUAGAGAAAAUUGAAUGAAAAAACAACAUAUGUUCGACAUGGGCGAAGCAACACGCAUCAUGGAUGGAAGGGUAUCGAGAAAUUCUAGUUACAGGUUCGAAACUAGCAUGAAGGAGAGAUAGGAAGAGGAAGAAGAGGAAGAAAAAGAAAAAUUUCUAUUGCUAGAGUCUUGAUUGAGAGAAGAAGGUAUAAUAUAAACCAAGUAAAAAUAUCAACUUACCUCAUUGACUAAUCAGAGUUAAGUAUUUUACGUAUGGUUAAUUAAAUUUUUCUAACGAAUCCUAACAGUAGGGAUAUAUUUGAAAACAUUAGGACUUUUCUAGGAAUAAUAUAAAAAAAUUACAUUCUAUAGGGACAUAUUUAUAAUUCGCUAUGUUUACAUGGAGCUGUAUGUAAUUAAUCUUUUUUAAAAUUUGAAAGGUGUAUUAAAUAAAAUAAAAUUGACCCUAAUAAUAAUAAUAAGAGCUUUUUACAAAUAGCUUCACGAAAUUUAUAAUUACAAGAGUGGCACUAUCCCCACCAUGCAAGCGCCACAUCAGCGGCUGGCUGGCAUAAGUUAAACACGGCGAACCAUUUACCGUGUUUAAGCUAAAAUGUACUGCGAUGCUGUUUGAGUUCUUUUGUAUUACAAGGUUGGCUACUGUUCAGCCCAUCCAAACAUGGUGAAUGGUUCACUGUGUUUAAACGCGAUAAAACCAUUUACCGUUUUCAACUUAGCCCUCCACAACCGUUGACGUGGUGUUUACAUGGUACUUGCGUGGCGGGGAUAGGACUAGUUUUGUAAUUAUAAAUUUUAUAAAGCUUAUUUGUGAAAAAAAAAAGAAGAGGGGGCUAAAUGUUAAAAAAAAAGAAG
rnacentral:lncRNA from 1 species